rnacentral:lncRNA from 1 species
GGAGAGAGGAGCUUGUUCAGCCCAGUCUGGAGUGGCAUGCUCUUCUUGGUUCAGCCUGAAGACACAGGCUUCUGAAGGGAGAAAUGAAGGGCUAAAAUUCAUGGAUGACCUCGUUCUAAUCAUACUCUAGAAGACUGAAGAGUCUCCAAAAUGAUAUUCAUAUCACUCAGAAGAGUUCAGUCUGAGUAUUCUAAGAGGAAAAGCAAGAAAAUGCCAAUUUCCUGUUGUUCAGAGUAAACUGCAAUUGAAUGGACCGUUUUGCAGUAUCUUGUCUUCUUGGAAGACAGUGCAAUUUUUUAUAAUCAUCAGUGGUGCAUCAUCUAUG